GGCUUAUUUAGGAAUCAUCAGUUCUGAAAGGUCCCCUACUGGAAUAUGUUGUGUCACACAUACUUUAGGAAAGGGAGGUUUAUAAGGGAAGUUGGUUUCUUUGUGAACUGAUUGUCUCUUUCUUCCUCACUCUAGAGUCCUCCUCCUCCAAACCUGGAAAGAAAAUUCCAGCUGGAGCUGUUUCUGUAUUUUUAGGGGACACAGAUGUGUUUGGGGCCCCAACCUCUCCGGUGCUGAAGGAGCCCCAGAAGCUGGAGCAGCCCACUCUGGGGAAGAGCUCAUGUGUCCCGCCUACUAGUGGCCUCUUCGAUGACGAUGAUGAUGAUGACGAUGACUUUUUCACAGCAUCUAGCAGCAAACCUUCCAAGACAG